GAUGAACGCUAGCUACAGGCUUAACACAUGCAAGUCGCGGGGCAGCAUGGGGGUUGCUUGCAACCCCUGAUGGCGACCGGCGCACGGGUGAGUAACUCGUAUCCAACCUGCCCUUCACCACGGGCUAACCCGGCGAAAGUCGGACUAAUCCCGUCUUUUGUCCAUUGACGGCAUCCGAUUUGGACGAACGUCUUGUCGGUGAAAGGAUGGGGAUGCGUCCGAUUAGCUUGACGGCGGGGUAACGGCCCACCGUGGCUACGAUCGGUAGGGGUUCUGAGAGGAAGGUCCCCCACACUGGAACUGAGACACGGUCCAGACUCGUACGGGAGGCAGCAGUGAGGAAUAUUGGGCAAUGGGCGUAAGCCUGAACCAGCCAAGUAGAGUGCAGGAGGACGGCGCUAUGGGUUGUAAACUGCUGUUAUGCGGGGAUAAAGUGGACAAAGUGUGGGCUUUUGCAGGUACCGCAUGAAUAAGGACCGGCUAAUUCCGUG
rnacentral:rRNA from 1 species